AUGUAAUUGAAAAAUGACAAAAUGUAAGCCAAAACUGCGACCACUUAUUAUUUGCAGUCCUUAAAAUACGAGAAAUAAAAGAUAUGAUUGCAUAUUAUUAUAGUGGUUUGAAUACUCUUUCGAUCAUAAACAGUUUCUGUCCAACUUACGUACAAUUUCACGGAGAGUCAUUCAAAAUACUUUAUCCACAUUCAGAACCUUAUUGACGCCCCUUUGUCUCGCUUUUUGGUCAUAAAUCACAGGCUCCACAAAAAUACAAACAGCAUAUCGCAUCUGAGCAGAUAGUGAAUUGCUUUAAACAUAAGAAAGGUACGUAGAAUUAAUAGUAGAUUCAGACGUUUACAAAAGAUUCGAACAAAUAUGGCAAAUGAUCUAUUUGAGUAAAUUUAGUCCCACCAAGGAUUUGUAUAGUAUUAUACUAAACUACAAUCCUAUGAAAAAAGAAGCACAAGGCUGAUGUGAUUUUGACCAGUUUUUCUUAUUCUAUGGCGAUUAUUUUUUUUAUUUUCAAAAUUCAAGUGUACGCCCGGGCGUUUUGACGUAAACGUAGCUACGCGCAUGACUAUACACCCCUUUCUAUGGUAUGUAACACAUAAACAAACGACAGCUACUGAAUUACAGGCUCCUGACUUGGGACAGGAACAUACAAAAAAUUAUGUAGGUAUAUCUCAUUACCAGAAUAUUUAGCCCACCCCCUUUGUCAUGGUCUAUUGACUCAUAUGUAUUAGUUUUUGAUUAGGUCAGUUAUUUAUGAUAUUUGGUGUGCAGUUGGAUAAACUUUGUCACUUUUAAUUUCUUGGCUCACACCGAACAACAAGCUAUAAAGGGCCCAGAAAUUACUAGUGUAAAACCAUUCAAACUAGAAAACGAAAGGUUUGUUCAAAAAGGACAACUUAUGAAAAGUCAAUGGUAUUUGGUAAGCAGUUGUAUAUUCCUCCAUGCAGCUUGUAAUUAUUAGCAAAACCUACAUGUAUACUGCAUAGUAAGCUUUAAAAGACCAGGAAUUACAAAUGUAAAACAAUAAAAUAUAAUAAAAAUGUUAAAAUAAAUAAUUGGACAUAACUUUUGGAAGUGGCGGGAUUGGAUAGUGAAAAUUUUAGGGUACAAACAUUAUUCAAUACUUGAGAAAUAGCCGAGAUAAUAUUUUCACCAAUUUUUCAACAAUAUUCGUCUUAACUUCUGCCAAGUUUGCCUCUGCUUUUUUUAUUUAACUGCCUACAGCGCCUUUGGUGCUUUGAUUUUUUUAUGUUUCCAUUCAUUUUUAUUUAUAAAUUUUUAAUUCGCCUGUCCCAAGUCAGGAGCCUCUGGCCUUUGUUAGUCUUGUAUGAUUUAUAAUUUUAGUUUCUUUUGUAUAAUUUGGAGCUUAGUAUGACGUCCAUUAUCACUGAACUAGUAUACAUAUUUUAAGGGGCCAGCUAAAGGACGCUUCCGGGUGCGGGAGUUUCUCGCUACAUUGAAGACACAUUGGUGGCCUUCGGUUGUUGUCUGCUCUAUGUUCGGGUUGUUGUCACUUUGACACAUUCCCCAUUUCCUUUCUCAAUUUUAUUUUAAUGUUCAUUAACAUGAUUAGUGACCAUUACAUGGUGUUCAUGA
rnacentral:lncRNA from 1 species